GGUGAAAUGUUUACUGGACUCGCUGCUGAAACCGAUGAGGUUCAAAAUUAAGGUGGGCAAAAGCAGUUAACUGUCAGCUGGCGAAUAUGGAAUGUAUCCGAGGUGACCUGGCAAGAACAAAUAGAACAUUGAGAUAAAAGAAGUCAAUACCUAGUGCCACCUACUGUCAACAAUGAACUCAGUUGUUUUUAGGUAACUAAAUACUCCCUUUGGGAUAGACUCAGUUCAUGCUCACCAGGACACCGCUGCUCACUGCAUCUCCUCACUUCUUCACCUGUUCCUUCACAUUGCUGUCCUGUUAUCGCUGCCCCCUGACAAGUCCUUAUUCUCCUUUCCCAGCCGCCAUCACAGGACUUGGAACAUCCGCUCCAAUGACCCCA